rnacentral:rRNA from 1 species
GAUGAACGCUGGCGGCGCGCCUAAUACAUGCAAGUCGAGCGAACAGAUGAGGAGCUUGCUCCUCUGACGUUAGCGGCGGACGGGUGAGUAACACGUGGAUAACCUACCUAUAAGACUGGGAUAACUUCGGGAAACCGGAGCUAAUACCGGAUAAUAUAUUGAACCGCAUGGUUCAAUAGUGAAAGACGGUUUUGCUGUCACUUAUAGAUGGAUCCGCGCCGCAUUAGCUAGUUGGUAAGGUAACGGCUUACCAAGGCAACGAUGCGUAGCCGACCUGAGAGGGUGAUCGGCCACACUGGAACUGAGACACGGUCCAGACUCCUACGGGAGGCAGCAGUAGGGAAUCUUCCGCAAUGGGCGAAAGCUUGACGGAGCAACGCCGCGUGAGUGAUGAAGGUCUUCGGAUCGUAAAACUCUGUUAUUAGGGAAGAACAAAUGUGUAAGUAACUAUGCACGUCUUGACGGUACCUAAUCAGAAAGCCACGGCUAACUACGUG